AUGUAUAAGAUUGGCUGUUUAAAGGCCAAUAAAUCAUAUUAUCAAUAUUUUCUGGUUAACCUCUAACUUUAUUGAGCUCUAAACUACCUGCACAUUUAUCAGUUGUGGAUUGUGAGUCAAAUACACUGUGACCACAAAGUUACACCUCCAGGAGUAUCAGAUCAGAAUCCAGCAGGAUUUUAAUAAAAUGCUCUAAUGUCAGAAGUAAGCACUACUUUGCCUCUUUCUAGAUGCGGCUCCAUAGGUCAACUUGUCUUCUACACCAAGAUGCCUUUUGGGUUCAGAGGGAUGAAGUGAAGACUCCCAGCCCCUGCACGUCCCUGCUGGAGCUUUACGUACGGUAUACAACCCAGACAGACCAGGUGUAGCAUGCUAAAAAAUAAGUGCAGAGUUAAGUUUUGAUCAAUGGAGCGAGAAGAAAUGGAUGCCACAGGAGAAAGGAUCUAAUGCUCUCCCGGUGAAUUGAGAAAGGCAGGUACACAAUUUGUGAAUGACUAAAGAGAUCUGACUGUAUCAUGGAAACCUCAUUGUUGACUUCUGGCCAAUUGCGAGUAACUUCGGUAUCGAGUUCAGAAAAGAAUGGUCUCUUGCUCUUGCCAAAGCAAAAGCUGCAGCAACAUUAAUGGAAGACAGACUCUGUUCUAGGCUAUUUACAACAAGGGACAGGACAACACUCAACUCAAUGUCAAUGAGCUCAACUUCAAUGAAGUUGAAUGAGGGCAGAAAAGAGUUCCUUGCUUUGAAAUACAUGAAUAUCAGAAAAGUGCCCUCAGGCAAAGAAGAUGCAGCUUUUUAAGAAAAGGAUCCAAUUUGGGAAGGAGGAACAGUGCUUCCAUGGCCACACAGAGCCCCAGCCAGACAACCUAGGACCACAGAGGAAAAAUUGCCUGUUAAAGAGUCGUAAACUUUGAGUGACCCCACAUAUGCGAGGCUGGCAUUGGACCUGACUGAAGACUCUUUCCUGACCAAGGAGCAUGAGGAUUUGCGUUAACUAAUCCUGAACAGACCAAUGGAGACCUCCUGCCUGUCCAGAGGGAUAGUUCUCGAGCCUUAAUGGGCUCAUCUGCCAUGAAAUCCCCUUCCUGACUUCCCCCCAUCUAACACCUCAGUAGGAUUCUUCACGGGUAUGUUCUUAAAAGUGGCAAAUAAAUACAACCAGCUUUAAAAAUUUCGUCCUGGCUCGGGUUGAUUUUGCAGUACUUUUGAAACCUAGAAUCAGGCUAUUAA